AAAACACGGAGACGUAUUUUCCAGGUAUGUGUGUGACUGUUUGACUGAUCCUAUAGAAGUACAUUGAAGAUAUUCCCUCUAAAUCUCCAAUUUUUGCUAUAUUAUAACUUGUCCCCAUCUUUUAGUGAUUAGUGAAUCUUUUAACUUUGCUUCUUUAUGUGACGUAGUAAUCUAAUAUCUGGUGAUUGUAGAUACACACAUCAAGGAUGACA
rnacentral:misc_RNA from 1 species